GGGUCGGUGCCCGAGUGGUUAAAGGGGACGGACUGUAAAUCCGUUGGCUUUGCCUACGAUGGUUCGAAUCCAUCCCGGCCCACCA
rnacentral:tRNA from 2 species